AAGGUAUUGAAAUAAGGCUUUAAAUGAGUGCUAAGAGAAUGGUUGAACAAUUAUGGGCUUUCUUUAAUUAAUAAAUUGAAUUUAAUGUUUUUGUGAAGAAGCAAAAAUGAUAAUUAGGGACAAGAAGACCCUAUGAAUUUUUAAACUGAAAUUAUUAUUUGUAUGAUUUUUCAGUUUUAAUUGGGGCGAUGAGAAAAGAAUAUUUAUCUUUUUUUUAAUAAGUUAAUUUGAUCCAUUAAUAAUGAUUAAAUGAUUUAAAAUACUCUAGGGAUAACAGCGUAAUAA
rnacentral:rRNA from 1 species